GUGUGUGUGUGAGUGUGUGUGUGUGUGUGUGUGUGUGCUGGGAGAAAGGAAGUAUUUUCCACUCUCACACAUUGAGGACUGAGAGCCUAAAGACCCUUCUAAGAACUUGAAAUUUAAAUAGAAUAUUCCUCACUGUGUGAGCUUUAGUCCUCACGUUCAUCCUGGUUGCAAGAUUCUCCAGAAUGCGCCUGGUGGCAACACCAUGUUUGAUGACACAGUGCACAGUGAGGACCCAACGUGAGUUGAAAUUGUAAUGCAUGACCUGGAUUUUCUCUCAAUAAGGCCUGUGAUCAGUGACUGCCAAAAUGGGGAGCUGAGGGAUGUUGUUCUUUUCUUUCCCAUUGUCAGUGAUACUGAUUGCCAUGAUGUUGAAAAAAUGGAAGAUUCUAUCAGUCAGCUACUGCUGCAAGGCAAGCACCUACAAAAUCUUGGUGGCAUACAGCAA
rnacentral:lncRNA from 1 species